AUAAAAGCUACCCCGGGGAUAACAGGCUUAUCUCCCCCAAGAGUUCACAUCGACGGGGAGGUUUGGCACCUCGAUGUCGGCUCAUCGCAUCCUGGGGCUGUAGUCGGUCCCAAGGGUUGGGCUGUUCGCCCAUUAAAGCGGUACGCGAGCUGGGUUCAGAACGUCGUGAGACAGUUCGGUCCCUAUCCGUCGUGGGCGUAGGAAAUUUGAGAGGAGCUGUCCUUAGUACGAGAGGACCGGGAUGGACAUACCUCUGGUGUACCAGUUGUCGUGCCAACGGCAUAGCUGGGUAGCUAUGUAUGGACGGGAUAAGUGCUGAAAGCAUCUAAGCAUGAAGCCCCCCUCAAGAUGAGAUUUCCCAACUUCGGUUAUAAGAUCCCUCAAAGAUGAUGAGGUUAAUAGGUUCGAGGUGGAAGCGUGGUGACACGUGGAGCUGACGAAUACUAAUCGAUCGAAGACUUAAUCAA
rnacentral:rRNA from 1 species